CUACUAAUGAAGUAAGCUACACUGGCCUCAAACCCCACAGCGUGUGCAGGGCAGAGUUGCGAUUCGACCCCGGGCAGCGACCAGGGAUCCGACCAGAGACUGUCGGAUCCACGGUACACCCAGCUCGCUAUCUGCCCCCAAGGAGGGAAAGUACCCCGAGAGGCGUCGCCGGCAGGCCACCAAGUCUGCCCCAGACACAAGGCCCGGGAGAAAAUUCACAUCCCCCCAGGGCUCCGCUGAAAAACAAAAUGCCGGAAGUGAAGACGCCACCCCGUCCUGCCCUCGGUCCGCUGGACACAGUGGGGUAUUGCUCCAGGAUCUUGCUUCAGACGCAUAAGCUCCCCCAUCCAUUAAACCAUCGAUGUCUCUGUUGCUGACUCCGGGCUCUUCCGUCUUGAAGCUGGGCAAGCACAGGGCUUGUAGGCCUGCGGGGUGCAGCCCAACAGCUUCACAUGUAUUGACUCAUUUGAUGCUUCCAACAACUUCGUGAAGGAGGAAGCCAAGGCCUGCACCUGCCCAGGGGAGGACAAGGCGUGCAGGACUCAGGUCGGACGUUUGAGGAAGGAGAGGAGGAGCCCGGGAACGAUGGAGCCCCAAGAGCACGGGGCAGCUGAAGGGUGUGAAGAUAAAGAACUGAAGCAGGUUUAACGCUUUCCAGAUUGAAAGCUGAAGGGCACCGAUUUGGGUGCCAGAGUAACAGAAAGACUACAGGUCAGUGUGAUCACCGGCUCCGUCUAUUUGCACAACGAAAAGGAAGACACUGCAAUACCCGCAG